UACGGAGGGUGCAAGCGUUGUUCGGAAUCACUGGGCGUAAAGCGCGUGUAGGCGGCCUCCUCAGUCUGGUGUGAAAGCCCGGGGCUCAACCCCGGAAGUGCAUUGGAUACUGGGAGGCUGGAGUACCGGAGAGGAGGGUGGAAUUCCUGGUGUAGCGGUGAAAUGCGCAGAUAUCAGGAAGAACACCAAUGGCGAAAGCAGCUCUCUGGGACGGUACUGACGCUGAGACGCGAAAGCGUGGGGAGCGAACAGG
rnacentral:rRNA from 1 species